rnacentral:rRNA from 1 species
UGGGGAAUAUUGCACAAUGGGGGAAACCCUGAUGCAGCGACGCCGCGUGAGCGAAGAAGUAUUUCGGUAUGUAAAGCUCUAUCAGCAGGGAAGAAAAUGACGGUACCUGACUAAGAAGCACCGGCUAAAUACGUGCCAGCAGCCGCGGUAAUACGUAUGGUGCAAGCGUUAUCCGGAUUUACUGGGUGUAAAGGGAGCGUAGACGGAUGGGCAAGUCUGAUGUGAAAACCCGGGGCUCAACCCCGGGACUGCAUUGGAAACUGUUCAUCUAGAGUGCUGGAGAGGUAAGUGGAAUUCCUAGUGUAGCGGUGAAAUGCGUAGAUAUUAGGAGGAACACCAGUGGCGAAGGCGGCUUACUGGACAGUAACUGACGUUGAGGCUCGAAAGCGUGGGGAGCAAACAG